rnacentral:lncRNA from 1 species
UCCUCCAAGAUGGAAGCGGCGACCGCGGAUCCCGACGCGCUUGUUUACUGCUCCCAGCGGCGCUUCCGGCCGCUCUGACGGCACGGUCACGUCACUUCCGGCCUCCUGCCGGGAAGGAAUGUGGCGGGGCUGUGCGGGGCCGGGCCGGGCCGGGCCCUGCCAGCCUGAGGGACAGCGAAGGAGAGCUGGGCAGGAGAACGGGCAGCAGCCGCAGCCAAGCGCAUCCGGCAGCUAAAGCUUAAAGCUUGCUCCUUGUAAGCUGUAGCCAGUGAAGUGUGCUGUGUUCAUCUUCCACAUAACUCCACCACAGUUGCCAGAAGGUUUUGGAGGCGCAUGAUCAGCUCACAGCUAACAUUGCAGCUUGCUUCUUGAGAUGAAUGCAUAAUCUCCAUUCCCUCUCCUUUGUGAAACCCUGAAUCUUCUUCAAAGGGAGCUUCUUACUAAAACCUGCUUUUUUGUUAGCUCUUUAUUGGAAAAUUGUAAUUUUUCCAAACUAGAGACCACCUGUCAGUUUCAUGGUCUGCACAGCCAACUGUGAUCAGCUCCUUCAGUGAGCACCUGAUCUGCAGAGAGCACAGAGCCGCCUUAUGGAGGAUCCCAAAACUGGCCACACAAGCUUUAACCUCCAGCAGAAAAGCCGAGGGAUAUUAUUGGAGCUACAUGAAUUCACACCAGCUGUCGCGGUCUGUUUUAUCAAUGACCUUUCAUUCUUAAAGGCAGUGAAGAGUGAGUAUUUCCCUUAGUUAUGAGUUUCAGCUGAGAAUAAACUUUGCCAGUCAGGAGUGGCA